AGCACCACACUGUCGGGGUGGACAGAAUUUUCGUGCAACUUGGAAUCAACUCGUACCCGAAGAUCUGCACAUUUAUUGUUUCACAUUUUCUUUACUACAUGAGUUAGAGCUGGCAAUCCAACCGGCGCCUGUUCUGUUCUGGCGUUGUCUUCUUAAUCAUAUGGUAUCAGUUCAUUUGGAUCGUCAAUUUUUCAUUUCCUUAGAAGAGGCCAGCUUCAGCCUGUCCAGAGAUAGCAGUGCCACAGCAGUGUCGCCAGCGCGAAUCGAUACCACAGAUAUUAUGGAGGGCUUCCUGCAAUCCGCAACAACAAAUGGGAGGCUCUCCAAGAAGACCACGCCUUACUGUCAGCACAGCAGCGCCGUCACGAAGAGGUCAACAUAAUGUCGAACAUGCAAGAGCUCAGCCCAGGUCGUGACGUCUCCCGGAGGAGUCAACAUCGUAGUGUAGAAACAAGAAGUUGUUAAAGUUCCUGGUCAACUUUUACUUCAGUAAAUGCUGAACAUUAGACCUUAAGAGAAGAGUUUGUUAAUUAAUUCAUCAGCUGGUGCUUUGCUAGUCAAUGACACUUGUACAUUGUCCAGUAAUCCUGUGACAAAGAAGUGUAUCAAAGUUAAGUAAAUCUUUCAUUCAUUAUAGUAAUAAAGAGAACUAAUAUUUCAUGAGUUAA